GUAGUCAUUCAACACUGAACAGAGGCAUACACAGAAACCUACCAGUGUGUGUCGGAGAUACACAUAUUCCAGGAAAAACUUUGCUGAUUUUUCAACUCUAAACAAGAAGUUUUUUAUGUCAGUUUUGUGUCAGUGUUGUUAGUGUAGCAAAACAGCAAGCCCUAUUUCGAUAUAGUGGCAGCUUCCAUUGCUGUCAAAUAGUAGUCAUUGAACACUGAACAGAGGCAUACACAGAAACCUACCAGUGUGUGUCGGAGAUACACAUAUUCCAGGAAAAACUUUGCUGAUUUUUCAACUCUAAACAAGAAGUUUUUUAUGUCAGUUUUGUGUCAGUGUUGUUAGUGUAGCAAAACAGCAAGCCCUAUUUCGAUAUAGUGGCAGUUUCCAUUGCUGUCAAAUAGUAGUCAUUCAACACUGAACAGAGGCAUACACAGAAACCUACCAGUGUGUGUCGGAGAUACACAUAUUCCAGGAAAAACUUUUCUGAUUUUUCAACUCUAAACAAGAAGUUUUUUAUGUCAGUUUUGUGUCAGUGUUGUUAGUGUAGC